rnacentral:rRNA from 1 species
UACGAAGGGGGCUAGCGUUGCUCGGAUUCAUUGGGCGUAAAGAGCUCGUAGGCGGCUUGGCAAGUCGGAUGUGAAAACUCCAGGCUCAACCUGGAGCCGCCAUUCGAUACUGCUAUGGCUAGAGUCCGGUAGGGGAGUGUGGAAUUCCCGGUGUAGCGGUGAAAUGCGCAGAUAUCGGGAGGAACACCGAUGGCGAAGGCAGCACUCUGGGCCGGUACUGACGCUGAGGAGCGAAAGCGUGGGGAGCGAACAGG